UGCACAAGUGAUGAACAACAAAGGGACUUAAUACUGAGACCUGAUGUGAUACGAGGUCUGAUGUGC
rnacentral:snoRNA from 12 species